GUAAGCAGAUGCCCAGGGACGGGCAUACUGUCAAGAGGGGAGGGUGUAACCCAUACAAGUUUUAUGUCUAAUAAAUAGUUCAGUUAAAUUUGGAAGAUGCAUCAAGGGAAUAAAUAAAUUAGUUUUAUUGUAAAUACAUUAAAAAUAAAUUACUCGUAAUUUUAAGGCGAGUAGCUCCCCCCAUCCAUUUCCUGUUCCGGUUCGCGAAGCGCUCGUAGAUUUUCAGCUGCGUAUGAGAAACCAUCACGUUGCAACAACGUUGAGAAAGAAAGAAGUUUUCCAUCGGAUGGAAAAGUGCCCAAAAACUUUGUGCUUGAGCUCGGAUAAAGUCCUCCAACCUUUCAGUGCUGCCGAGUGAUCGCCGAUUUCGAAAGUGGCGAAAAGUGAGUUUAAUCAGCUUCAUAGCUGUAAAGUUGUUAGCCCGCGUGCUACUGUUAGCUUUAGCAUCAUGUUGCUAACACGUAGCAGCUACGUCGCCGGGAAGCGCGGUGUUUGAGUCAACUCUUACUUCGUCUGAAAGAGUCUGGCGAUUAGCUUGGGUGCAGCUGUGCUGAGUGUCUGAGCUCAAGUGAUUUGGAGAUUGGUCAGGUUUUUUUUUCCCCCUUCUUUUGUGUACCCCCCUCGACCUCAUUGGUAUAUUCCGGAGCGGAUAUUCUGAUAGUCAUGAUGGCGAGCCUCCCACCUGGAUCAGAUGGAAAGGACUACACCUCUUCUGUGAUCACUGGAUUUUGCUUUGUGUGACCUACAGUGCGGUAGGCCAGAACUAAGAACACUGUCACUCAUCUGUGAGCACCAGCCCUAGCAACUAUUUAUUUUAUUGUGAAAGUUUUUGACCGACUUAGACUGACUUGGACUAGUUUUUUCUCUGACCUAUUUUAUUUAAUUUGCUACUCUUGGGUUGGUGUGGGACAGAAAGGAAACCCUCCUUUAAGACAUCUGAUAGUGAACUGAACUGCGAAUCCUACUCAUCAGCCUGAGUUGUUUGUGAACACUGAGAACAGGCAGUGAAAGAGAUUUUUUUGUGAACAGUUGGCCAAAGAACAAACAAAGAACAA